CCUACGGGGGGCAGCAGUGAGGAAUAUUGGUCAAUGGCCGUAAGGCUGAACCAGCCAUGCCGCGUGAAGGAAGAAGGAUCUAUGGUUUGUAAACUUCUUUUAUAGGGGAAUAAAAGUAUCCACGUGUGGAGAUUUGCAUGUACCGUAUGAAUAAGCAUCGGCUAACUCCGUGCCAGCAGCCGCGGUAAUACGGAGGAUGCGAGCGUUAUCCGGAUUUAUGGGGUUUAAAGGGUGCGUAGGUGGUUUGUUAAGUCAGUGGUGAAAUGCUGAGGCUCAACUGUGAAAUUGCAGUUGAUACUGGCGGACUAGAGUGCAGUAGAGGUGGGCGGAAUGCGUGGUGUAGCGGUGAAAUGCGUAGAUAUUACGAAGAACACCGAUUGCGAAGGCAGUUCACUGGACCGGAACUGACACUGAGGCUCGAAAGUGUGGGGAUCAAACAGGAUUAGAUACCCCUGUAGUC
rnacentral:rRNA from 1 species